UCCCUGGUAGUCCAGUGGUUAAGACUCCACACUUCAAAUGCAGGGAGCACAGGUUUAAUCCCUGGUUAGGGAA
rfam:TPA: Bos taurus chromosome 5, whole genome shotgun sequence.